GAGGGUAUAGCUCAGUGGUAGAACGCAUAUUUAGCAUGCAUGAGGUCCUGGGUUCAAUCCCCAGUACCUCCA
rnacentral:tRNA from 1 species